rnacentral:tRNA from 1 species
GCUAUUUUGGCAGAUAAGUGCGGUGGAUUUAGAAUCUAUUUAUGUUGAAUUUUUCUAACAGAUGGUA